rnacentral:rRNA from 1 species
UACGUAGGGGGCAAGCGUUGUCCGGAAUCAUUGGGCGUAAAGCGCGUGUAGGCGGUUCGAUAAGUCUGCUGUGAAAGUCCAGGGCUCAACCCUGGGAUGCCGGUGGAUACUGUCGGACUAGAGUACGGAAGAGGCGAGUGGAAUUCCCGGUGUAGCGGUGAAAUGCGCAGAUAUCGGGAGGAACACCAAUGGCGAAGGCAGCUCGCUGGGACGUUACUGACGCUGAGACGCGAAAGCGUGGGGAGCAAACAGG